UCGUGCGAGAAAGUCCCUUUCGGGGGAUAAGUAAAGCGGCGACCUGGUGAGUAACACGUGGAUAAUCUACCUUUAAGUUGGGGAUAAGCUUCCGAAAGGGGGUCUAAUACCGAAUAAUAUCGUUGGAUGGCCUCAUCUGACGAUCAAAGGCGGCGCAAGCUGUCGCUUAGAGAUGAGUCCGCGCUCCAUUAGCCAGUUGGCGGGGUAAAAGCCCACCAAAGCUACGAUGGAUAGCCGGCCUGAGAGGGUGUACGGCCACACUGGAACUGAGAUACGGUCCAGACUCCUACGGGAGGCAGCAGUAGGGAAUAUUGCGCAAUGCUCGCAAGAGUGACGCAGCGACGCCGCGUGGGCGAUGAAGCUUCUUGGAGUGUAAAGCCCUGUCAGGAGGGACGAAUGAUUGCAGUCGUAACUGGCUGCGAUUUGACGGUACCUUCAGAGGAAGCUCCGGCCAACUCCGUGCCAGCAGCCGCGGUAACACGGGGGGAGCGAGCGUUGUUCGGAAUUACUGGGUGUAAAGGGCUCGUAGGCUGGGAAGAAGGUCGAAUGUGAAAACUCAUGGCUUAACCAUGAGCCUGCAUCCGAAACCACUUCUCUUGAGUAUCGGAGAGGAUAGCGGAACUCCUGGUGUAGCGGUGAAAUGCGUAGAUAUCAGGAGGAACGCCGGUGGCGAAGGCGGCUAUCUGGCCGAAUACUGACGCUCAGGAGCGAAGGCCGGGGGAGCAAACAGGAUUAGAUACCCUGGUAGUCCCGGCAGUAAACGAUGGGUACUAGGUGUUGGAGGGAAUUGACCCCUUCAGUGCCGCAGCUAACGCAUUAAGUACCCCACCUGGGGAGUACGACCGCAAGGUUGAAACUCAAAGGAAUUGACGGGGGCCCGCACAAGCAGUGGAGUAUGUGGUUCAAUUCGACGCAACGCGAAGAACCUUACCUGGGUUUGAAAUGUGUUGGAAAGCCUCAGAGAUGAGGCCCCUCCGCAAGGAGUCGACACAUAGGUGCUGCAUGGCUGUCGUCAGCUCGUGCCGUGAGGUGUUGGGUUAAGUCCCGCAAC
rnacentral:rRNA from 1 species